UGGAGAGAGACGUUGUGAUUGUUGAUGUGUCUGUUGUGUGUGAGUUCCUUGAUAUUUUUCUUGAGGAUAUUAGUGAUCUACAACCAGAGUAUGAAGUGGAGUUUGCCAUAAAUUUAGUACGUGGUAUUGGACCUGUGUCAAUGGCACCGUACAAAAUAUUUGCACCAGAGUUGGGCAAGUUGAAGAAACAACUAGAAGAUUUGUUAGAGAAGAAGUUUAUCAGACCUAGUGUGUCGCAUUGGGAAGCGCUAGUGUUAUUGGUUAAAAAGAAAGAUGGGAGCAUGAGGUUAUGAGUGGAAUAUCAGAAGUUAAAUAAAGUCACUAUCAAGAAUAAGUACACUUUUCCCAGAAUUGAUGACCUUAUGAAUCAGUUUCCUGAUCCAUCCCAUGUGAUCCAAUUAGAUGAUGUGCAAGUGAGAGAUGACUUGACUGUGGAGGCAUCACCCUUGCAUAUUAAGGAUCGAGUAGUGAAGCACUUGAGUGGUAAAGAGAUUUCUUUGGUUAAGGUGGUGUGGGAGAGGACCUGCUAGAGAAAACGUGACGUGGGAGCUGGAGAGCCUGAUGAUAGAGUCUUAUGCAGAGUUGUUCCCUUCAGGUAUUUUUCGAGGGAGAGAGCUCUAUAGGUGGGGGAAAAUGUAACACCCCGAUUUUUUAUUAUUUUUUUUUAAUUGAGUUUAUGAGUGUUUUUGGCCAAUUUAAUUAUUUUAUUGAAGUUAUUAAAUUUUGUAUAGUUUUUUAUUAUAUUUAAAUUUGUGUAGAACUGAGAAAUAAUAAUUUUAUAUUAAAAUUAAAAAUUAAUUAUAUAUUUUUUAAUUUAAUUAGUUAGGAAACUAAGAGAAAUUGAGACUUUAGGGAUAAAAAUAGACUUUAAAUAAAAUAACCGAGAUGUGUUGAAUUAGUAAGAGUUGAGGGAAGUUGUAGAAUUAAUUAAAAUAGAAAUACAAAUAGGAUUUUUAUUUCAAUAGAGAAGGGAAGGAAGAAAGAUGUUAGUACGUAGAAUUUUGGGAGAAAAUGUUAAGGAGCGAAAGAGGCAACCCUGUGAGAGCUUUUGAAGGAGAAGAGAAACCCCAUUGUCGUAGCUUCAACAUUUAUGCGAAUUCCAGGUAACGGGGAACUAUUCAUGAUAUAGGUGUUUAGACAUGAAGGAUAGAAAUGAUCUCUUAUCCUCUUUUCUUUUUUUAUAUUGAUGAGAGUUUUGAAGCUUGAGAAGGUUUGUGCAAAACAUCUCUAAGGCAUGAUCUAUAUGCCUAAUCCUUAAUAUAUAUAUAUAUAUAUAUAUAUAUAUAUAUAUAUANUAUAUAUAUAUAUAUUGAUUUUCAUGUAAAUCUAUAUGCUUAAUCCUUAAUUUUUAUGUUCAUGAGUAUAUAUGUUGAAUUGAUAAAAUAUGUUGAUGCCUUAUGAAAGACGAGAGUAUAAAUGUUGAAUUUAUGAUGUUUGAUUCUUAUUGUUCAUGGUUGAUGUUUAUUUGUGUGUAUGGGGUGGUUGAGACUCAAAUUGGAGAAAUAGACAAGUUUUAGAUAUGUUCAAUAGAGAGAGAAACACACAAAAUCGCAAGUAGACAUAGAAGGGGAUUGUCUGCCUUGUUUCAUACAUAACUUGAGUUUCGUAAGUAUGUUUGAGGUGCAGUCAGUUGCGUUAGAAAAAUAAAGUGAUAAUAUUUCUUCUGAAGUGGAAAAAUUGGUUUGGAAGCGCUACAACAGUAGCAGUUAUCGGGUUUUUAUACCAAAAGUAUAAUAAAAACUUUAGUCCUAUGUUGGUUGUUUUGUUUCACGCAUAACUUGAUUUUUGUAAGCCCUUUAAGAGUAAAAUUUAUAUCAUAAGAAAAUAUAAAAAAUGCAUACAUACUAUAUUAAUAAGUAUGUCAUAUCAUUAAGUUCAGUAGGAGAAAUACUAGUUACAAGUCUGACGAAAUAUUUUGUCCAAUGUCGGUACGAGUUUCCAUUGUUCCAUUAAAUUGUACCAAUGGAGACCUUAAUUUCAAAAAUAAAUAUUAUAUACUGAUAAUAGACAUUUGAAUCUUUCCAAAACAUAUUCAUUUACUUUAUUUCAACUCUUUUUGAUAUUUUACAAAAAUGGUUCGAACCUAAGGUAUGACUAGAAGCAAAUAUUCUGUUUGGUGUAUGCACAAGUUCCUAUUGUUUGAUUAAAAUGUACUGAUUGAGAUCUUAAGUCUUAAAGUAAAAAACAUAGUCUUAAAAUAGACACUCUAAGAUUUUUGAAACAUAUCCAUUUUCUUGAUUUCAACUCUUUUGAUAUUUUAAAUAAUUAUUCGAAUCUGAUGUAUGACUAGUUGGAAAGAUGAUUUUAUGGUUGUUUUGAUAAGGUGUUAUGUGAAUUAAGUUGUUAAUAUUUUAUGACACAGGCCCAAUAUUUUGAUGAUACAUUUGUGUGAAAUAAGAUGUGGAUAUGUUUAAAGUUGAGUUUGAGAAUUAAAUGAGUUGAGUUUUGAGUUAUUUGAUAUGUUUAGAGUUGAGUUUGAUAUGUUUAGAGUUGUACUGAAUUAAAUGAGUUGAGUUUUGAGUUAUUUGAUAUGUUUAGAGUUGUGUUGAAUUAAAUGAGUUGAGUUUUUUAGUCAUCUGAUAUGUUCAGGGUUGAAUUAGAUAGUAAAUGAGUUAAGGUUAAAAUACACAUUGUGACUCUUAAUUUUUUAAUUAAAAAAUAGAGUUAUUUGUGAGCUUUGUUGAGUUAUGAGCAGAUCUUUUUGAAUGUUGAUGAUUGUAUGAUGUUGUUUUUAUCUUGUUGAUAAGUAUUGUUGAGAAAUUAUUUAUUAAACUAUUAUGUUGAGUUAUAAUUAAAUUGUUGAGUUAUGUUGAGAUGUGUGGUUCAUAUAUGAACCAUUGUUGUGGCCUUAUAUUGACGAUGUUUAUGUUGGGAUGUUUGGUUCAGAGAGGAACCAUUGUUGUGGCCUUGUAUAACGAUGUUUUAGAUUCAGAGAGGAGUAUGGGAGUUGGAGGUUGGGAUGAGUAUUAUAUUUCUAUUAUUUGUCGCAUUCAUGCAUCAUGUAUAUCGGAGAUAAGUACAUGUACAGACUUCGGUCCAGUGACAAGUUACUGGUUCAGAGAGGGGACCGAUGACGAGUUUGGUACUUUGCUUCGAUGACGAGUUUCAGGUUCAGAGAGGGGACCUGUGACGAGUUUUUGGUUCAGAGAGGAACCAGUGACGAGCGGACUAAUCAGUAACAUAACUUUGACAUCAAAAGUUUGAUAUGAAAUGCAUUGAAGUAUAGGAGAUGAGUAUAUUGUAUACAUAAUUACAUUUGUGAUUUAUUAUUGUUGUGGAUGAUCUAUGUGAUUGAUGAUUGAUAUUUUUAAACUAUCCUUGUUGUUUUAUGCACCGCUAACAUAUAUGAAUGUAUUUUCACUCAUAUUUGUUUUUAUGUUAUUCUUUACUUCAGUGAUACAAAUACUCGGGUAGGGGAGUCUUAGUUGUUGUUGAAUUGGAGGAUGGCGCAGUGACCUUCUUCAUAGUUUAUCGCUUUUAAAUUUAUUUUAGUUUCUACAUGUCGGUCGUUCUGAUAGUGUAACAUUGAGACGUAUUACCUUUUUGUUUGUGUUCUAUAAAUUGUUCAAUUAAACCAUUUAUUUCAUAAUUUAAAAUGAAGUUGCUUUUAAUUAUGAAACAAUUAACUUGAGUUGUUAUUAUAUGCUCAACUAUUAUAAUUUGUUAAUUGAAAAAGAUGUUUGUUAAUUGAAAAAGAUGUUUAUGAUCUCAAAAUAUAACAACCUAUUUUGAGUUAAUUAUUUUCGCUUUAUUUGUAUUUGGGAUUUGUGUGUUACACAAGUGAAUCAAAGAUAGAUAACCUAUCUAUUUUAUCAUGAGACUAGUUACUGUCCUGUCAUAUUAGGUGCAUGGAUGAAGGUUAAGACAAUGGUCAACAUUAAACAAAUUUAAUAAAAGUCUGAACAUGAUGAAUAAAAGCGACCAAUUAGAUUAAUAAUAUACUCUUUAUUAUAUAGUCUUUUCGAUACAACCUUUAAUUAAUUGAAAUUCAAAUAUAUUAUGCUAAAUUUAUUUAUCUGGGUUUGUAUAAUAUUAAAAUUUAUUUAAAUUUUAAUAAUUUGGAUAAAAGAUGUUGGAAAAUAGGUAUUAGAGCAUGUAUUGUCAGCACUUAUCUCUUGAUAAUAAAAUAUGAUAAACAUGCGCCCAACAUUUUCAUUCUGAAAUCAAAUCCCAAGCUUAUAUAUUUGGUAAGUACAUUUCCAAUAUUUUUUAUGUGACUAGAUGAAAAAUAUUAUGCAUUUGUUCAUGCAUAUUAUACAUUUUUUCUUUGCUUAUAAACUAAUAUAGAUGAUAAUUUUGGAUGAUAGUGUAACUUUAUAGUGACAAGAACAAAUUAAGAAUGCAUAUUGAGUUUUGCUACUUGGGUGGAAGAGCCAAGUUGGACUCACCCAUCACUUUUUACAUCAAGAAAAAAUAAUUUCAAAUUCGGUGUUAAAUGUUAGCCAAGAUAAAUAAGUGAUCAAUUUAAUUUUUUUUCUUUAAAAUACCAAUUUUUCAUAGACAUACUCAUACAAUAUGGUACACUUAUUUUGUCUGAACAAAAUAUAAAAAUAAUUGUUUUAAAAUGAUGUUUUUCUAUUUUAAAGAUAAUAUUAAUUAUUAUGUUUCUUCUUAAAUACUUACAUUUGUAUUUUAUAUAAUUUAAUAUUUUCCAUUUUGUAUUUAUGAUGAAGUGAAUACAUUAAUAUUAUAUAAAAAAUAUAAAUAAACUAAUACAUGACAAUAAUAUUUUUUAUUUAUAUAAUUUUUUAAUUGUAUAAAAUAAUGAACUAUAGUUCAUUUUAAAACAUGUCCGUUGAAUAACAUUGGCCAUCUAUUAUUACAAUUGUGGUCCUUUAUUUAUAUAUAUAUAUAUCCACUACAACUUGCAGGAAAAAUUAAAGCUCUAGGUCAAGGAAAGCCACUAGCUACCAUUUUCAUUUGUGUUAGUAGAUAUCCAAUCAUUCAAAGACCAAUUAAUUAAUACCACACUAAUCAUUUAUUCAUCAUAGUUUUCAAAAUGAUGGAAACCUACCUAGUUUACAAGCUUUGAAAUUAAAUAAGAUAGUGUAUGGUCCUUAUAUAAUUAAGUGAUCAUUAUUAGAGAGCACAAAUUCUUGCUAUAGUUAAACCAAAGAAAGAGAGGGACGACAAGAUCAAUUCAAACAAAAAAAAAAGACCAAAAUUUAGUUUUUUUUAAACUGAGUGAAGCUCUAACAGAUAUUUUUUAAUCAAUAAAAAGUUAAUAAUAAUUGUUAAUUAAUUUUAUUUUUGAUUAUUGUUAAAGUAAAUUAUACUUCUCUCUUUAGAGAUACUCAUAUUACACCCCUUUUUUCUUUUGUGUUAAAAUAUAUACAUUCGUCUCUCUUAUGCAAAAUAUAUUAUACUUCUAUUUUAUUUUAGAGAUAUUGAUAUUACACAAUCAUCCUCUCCUGUGUUAAAAUAUACACCCCUUCCUCUAUUAAGAAAAAUAUAUUACACUUCCUUCCCUUGAAAGAUGCUCAUAUUAUACUAUCUUCCCCUAUUAUAUUUUUCUUUUUUUUGAAAGUCCUAGAUUUAACUGGUAUAUCUUCCUCUCAUCCUCUCAUCGUUUGCACCCUUUACUAGUAUCGCUUCUACGUUGGACCUCUCGAUUAAUGAUUGUAUUGACAUGUAUUUCCCUUGUUUGAUGGAUCACAUGUUUUUCAAUGACUUUGGUUGCCUUCUUGACACCGUGAAGUACAAUUAAGACAUCUCAUUCUAGUUCCAAUACUUUCGGUGAAUUUGGACACAAUGAAGUGCAUGUUUUCUGUAGACUUGACGACGUUGAGAAGGAAAAUCAUAUUAUGGGAAAGCUGGAAAUCCAUCAAACAAAGGAAAGAUGAUUCUCUACGAUCCUACAUCUAGAGGUUCAUUGGAGAAGCGAUACUAGUCAUGGGCGUCGACGAGAGGAAGAAGAAGUACAUGUUAGGUCUAAGAUUCCAACAAUGGUCAAAAUUUUCCCUAAGUAUUAGAAUCAAGGCCCAUAAAUUCGUUAACAACAUACUGGUAAGGCCCAAAAAGUUCAUAUAGUACGAGGUAAAGAUGGUUGUUAGUAAGGCAAUUUAUGACAAAGGAUUUAAGAGAUAAGAAACAAGCAGAAGAGAAAACGAAGAAAUCAAAAGAGGAAACAAAAAGAGGGGUCGAAGCUAAGAAAUAUUCACAGACUAUAUGAGAGGUCAAAUGAGCACUUCCUGUUGAUACAAAAAUUACAUGUCAUUGAACGUAUCAAAAGAGUGUAUCUUGCAAAAAUGCAUCAAGACAACAUUUAGUGAAGAACAAGUUGAAACACAAAAGCUGCUUAGAGAACAUCUGAGAGUCAAUAAAUUUUGAUAUUGUCAUUUUCACUUGUGUAUCGCCCAUAACACAGAAGAAUGUGUAUAAUUGGAGGAUUAUAUCGAAGAUUUAAUCAGGAAGGGAAUGUUGUCUAUAUAUUUCUCCCAAGACAUAAUCCAAUCUAAGAAAAGGAGGCAAGGAAAAGAAAGCCUGCAAAUGAGAAGGAGUGAAAUAGCCAAAGUUCCUAAAAAACAGAGACAUUUCGACCAUGGAGAACAAAUUACCAAUUGCAUACACAAUUACAAGGAGGACAUUCGGAGAAUGGGAAGGACUAAUCAUCUUAAUGAACAUUGAGGAGAAAACACAAUAAUUGUGGGAGAAAUUCCCUAUGAACAUCAACGCAGACCCAAUGGUGCAGGGGAGACAAAUUUUUGAAGUGACCAACUAAACGAGAUCUCACAUGAACAAAACAUGUUGGUCAUGAUUGGGGUAGUUUCAGGAAGGUUUAAUCCUAAAAAUUUUAAAUAUUAAAUUAGACUAAAAUACUUAAGAAUAGAUUGAAGAGUAACGUAUAAAAUAAGGGUGAAAGUAUAGAUUUUAAUCUAAGAAGGAAGAAUAAUGUAAUUUAUUUAUCUUUUAAGGGAGAAGAAUGUAAUUUUUCUAAUACAUUUUGUCGAAGAAAGGAUGUGAAUUUAUAUUUUGGACACCUUUAAGGGGAAUUUGAUUGCAUGAGUGUGAGGUUUAAGUCCACUACAUCCUACUUAUUCACCUUUAAGGGAUAGGUAAAUGAUGACACUCUGUCAUCAUGUAAUUUUUUUAGUAUUUGCAUAUGUUUUUUUUAUGGUUUUUAGUAGAUUAUAUUUAAGUUUUAUGAAGAAAUAGAAAUAAAAUUAAGAAGUGAAUAAACAAAGCAAAAAGAUGAAAAAAUGGGGAAAUUGGAUAGAAAAGAGGAAAAUGCUACGUGAGAGGCAACACACAGAUUCAUGUUAUUAUUAUUUUUAUGCUUUCCAGUUUUGUGAACUAUACUACUAUUUUAUUUAACGAAUGAGUUUAUUUUUGUUGUUUUCUUCAGUUCGGAGUAUAAUUCUUUACCAAUAAUAAAAAAUAAUGAAAGACCCGAGAAAAAAGAAGAAAAAGAAAAGAGAAAGUAGAGUUGUUGCAAAAGUUUUAAAUGCAGAUAGAAAAAAUAUGAAGAAGAGUAAUAUUCAACAAUCUUGUACUCAAUCGCCAAAUGCCUCACCAAGUAGGGUUUGAGUCAAAUGAUUUCACUAUUUAUCUUCUUUCUUGUUAUGAGUGUCCAUAUGAUUGUUCAUUUACUUAGAUUUGCUUUAUUUCUAAAUUGAUUUCCAUCUAUUUGAUUACACACUCAAUCAAGUUGCUUGUUUUCAACUUAAAACUCUUAUUAUGCAAACCUUAAAAUAACUUUCAUAUGUUGUUAAACUCUUUGAGUUUGAAUCAUUUCUUUCGGUGACUUAGCCACGUGUUUACACUCUCUUCUUGGAGUUAGAUAGAUUAUUAUUUUCUAAUUCAUACAAAAAAAAAAUUAAGUUUGUGGUUGCUUCUGAAAUGAGCAACGAUUUAAGUUUGAGUUUGAGGUACUAAAAUCGCAUAAUUAAAAAAAAAAUUGAUGAUGAAAAGGAAAAAUAAAAGAAUGAAUAGAAGUUAGAAAAAAUCUUUAUAACGUUCAAAUUUAAAGCUUAUGAAAAAAAUGCUAAAAUAUAUUUGGAAUUCUAAUAUCCAUCAGAUAAAAAAAAGAAUAUGUAAGUAAGUAUCGUGUGAAAAUAAGAAUGUAGCAGGUACUUAACUUCAAGGGAUGAAAGCUACUAGCCAAAGUUUUGAGGAAGACCACAUUUAUGAAUGAGUUUCAUGAGGACAAGUAAGGGUGUACGUUUGGGAUUGUGAUGACAUUUUGUCAUCAUAUAAUUUUAUUAAGCAUUUGUAUAUGUUUUUGAUGAUUUUUAGUAGAUUAUGUUUAAAUUUUAUGAAUAAGUAAGAAGAAAAUGAAGAAGUAAGUAAACAAAGAAAAAAGAUGAAAAAGUGGAUAAAUUUGGGAAGAAAUGAUCAUUUUCAACACAACUUAUAUCACGGCGUCUAUCUAGUAAUUUGAUUAUAUAUAGAGUUUCGUAAUCCCGAUUGAGGUGAUACUGGAGGAAAAAUGAAAGCUUACCUCCAGAGUUACAACUUUUUUGAAUAAGUUAAAGUCUAAAUUAGAAUAUAAAUGAACAAAAAGUAGCGAUGAAAAUUAUGAUAUAAGGUGUUAGCUGUGAAUACAAUCUAGAAGAUGGUCAUGCUAAGGGUGGUGAUUCUGUAUGAUAUGAUAUAGAUAUCUAUUAAGAGUUGGGCAUGUCAUAGAAUUGAGUAAAAGUAUUGGCUAGAUGUUAUCUUAUCUUGCUAGGCGUGAAAUGGUGAAGGUUCGUCCUUUUGGAGAGAGGUGUUAUUUAUUAUAGAUUUUGUCGCCUUAAAUGUGUGUGUGUGAAGAUUGGGGUGGGUCGAGGGUUGAAGAUGGAGGUAGAAGAAGAUGCUUUUUGUGUGGGAAGAAGAACAUGCGACAAAUUGAUGAUCUUUGCUAGAUAAAAUUAUUUCUUAUGUUAAUAUAGUUUAUUCUUGGAUAUGGACACUUAAUCGUGACGUUGACUAAUCACCGAGAGGAGAAUAUCAUAUUUUGAUUCAUCAAAACCGGAUUGAUCGAGUGCCAACACAUAACCUCAUAUAAAACAAAACUAUACAAUAAACAUCUCUCUAUUAUAUGAAAGUUGAUCAUUGAUCAACAAUAUAUGAUCCCAACAAAAGUCAAUUUGGUGAGGCUGAGAAUAAUUUUGUCAUAUUCGUUAGAGUGUACAAGCUAUGGUUGUGGGAAAGAUAAAAACAUUUAACAUUUAUUUUUUAAGUGUUACUCCCUCCGUUUCUUUUUAAGUGUCGUUUUAGCAUAAAGCUCUCCAACCAAGAUAAAUGAAUUGUUAUAAUUUUUUUCCCAUUGUACCCUCAUUUUAAUCCACCAUAUACUUUCUCUUUCCUAAAUAAAAUUCAUUAAUAUAAGUACUCAUUAAUUAUUUACUUCAAAUAACUAAUUCCAUAAUUUUCUCCACAUAACUCUCUCUCUCUUCCGUUGCAUUUUUCAACUACUCCUAAAUUUUUGGAAUUAAUAUUGCUUGCUAUAGGAAUACGUACUGCUUGCAUUUCCACCAGAGCUCUUUUGUUUUGCACUUGAUAAUUUAAACAAUGCUACUGAUCCUUUUUAUAGAAUUUUAAGUCUUCAAUUGGUAAAAUUGUUUCCUUUUGCACUUGAUAAUUUAAACAAUGCUACUGAUCCUUUUUAUAGAAUUUUAAGUCUUCAAUUGGUAAAUUUAUUCCUUUGACAAAAUUUAAUGCUAAUACAUUUUUCUAUGUAACAUUGGAAGCUAUCAUUUGAAUAAUUUUUAUUGACCAGCCAAUACUUUGAAUAGGAAUGGGAGUUAUGUAUGGGAAUGAGAGUACGUAUUAAGAAAGAGAAUUUUAUGGAAAAUGUGGAGUGAGUUAUUACAUAUAUUAAGAAGAAAAAUUAUGGAAAAAUAAAGUUGAUGAGUUAUUUAAAUAGUAAGGGUAUAAUUGACAAAUUGUAACAUUAAAACAUCAAAACGACACUUAAAUAGGAACAAAAAAAAUCUUCUAAAACGACACUUAAAAAGAAACGGAGGGAGUAGUUUUUAUAAUAAGAUUUAAACAUUUAUCCUUCCGUGGUUGAAUAUUCUCUAGGCCUUUCUGAAUGUUAUCAAUACUCACCUCACGCCCUCAAAUUCCACAGCCUCUAUUCCUUAUUUAGGAGACUCAUCAAUGCUUUCAAGUCAUUGGUAAACUAUUUGACAAUAAAUAUUCAAAUUUUACACAAUUGAUUGGAAGAUCAAUAUUCUUGCUGAUAAUUAAGAACUUAUAGGUCAGAGAUAUUUUUUUGACAUAAACUUCAUGGCAAAAUAAACCUUACACUAAUAUUGAUUUUUGUUUGUGAUAUAAUUUAUGACUUUUUUAUUUGAAUUCUAUAUGGUCAUAUCUUAUAUUUGAAUAAAUUAUUAUUUUUAAUAAUAUAUCUAUUUGACUAAAAAAACAAAACUUUAACAUUAACUUUUCUAGAUAUUUAUAUCUUUUUUUGAACAAAAAUAUUUAUAUAGGUAUAGAUAUUAAAUUCAACGAAACCACGGUUUCCUCGUUUAAUACAUAUUGAUUGAAAAUUAUUUGUGUUUAAUUAUAAAUAUCAAACAAUAUGUAAAUUGUACCACAAGUCCUAACUAAUUUCUAAAAGUGCUCUCUAGUUACAUUUUUCAUUUUCUACGUUGUGCAUACAAAUUGAGGAUUGUAAAUUCCACCACAUGAAUAAUAGGGAAUAUGAUAAUUAAAGCCAAGAAAAAGUAGGUUUUGGUGAACAAUAUGCACGUGAAUGAACAAUGACCAAACAUCAUCUUCACUCAAAGAUCCUUUUCUAUAGUUUGUGUUCACAUUAAUCUACUCUUAUGUCACCAGAUUCUUAAUUGGACCCAUUUCACACCAAUAAAAUAAUAAAUACCUUUGACACUCUUCCACCAUACUAUAUUGGCUGCUGCAUGUUUUGAUAAAUUCCAAACAUAACCUCUUCAAAAUUUAAGUACCGACAACAAAAUGUACAAUAGGAUUUUCCAUCAUAGUAGUAUAUUGCACACGUUUUAUUGUAAGAGUCAUUUCAUGGCUCAGUUGUUUUAAAUUUUAAAAAAUAGAUUUUUUUUAUAUUUUUUAAAAUGGAUUUCAUAAAACAGCUUUCAAAAUAUUAUAAUUUUUUUUAUAUUUGUUUUAAAAAAGACUAAUUUUGACAUUCUAUAACAAAAACAUACAUUAUUAAACAUCAAAAUAUAAUAGAAAUUACAAUUUUUUCAAAAAGUUAUAUUUCAAAAAAGAUUUUAAUGAAAAAUUAUUAGAAAUAGUUUUAAAAUUAAGUGAUAUUUAAAAUUCUAAUAUCCGAAAAAAGUUUCAAUAAAAUGAUGAAACAUUUAAAAUAAUAUUUUAAGAAUAACUAUUAAAAGUGAAUUUUUAAUUGACUUUUUAUGUAAAGUUCUUUGUAAAAAUAUUUCACACAAAAUUAUGUUAUACUAUAAAAAUCAUUUUUAAAAAAAAGGCAAAACAAAUUGAUGUAUGUUUCUUAAAAAAGAUAUAUUAUAGUUAUACAGUUCGAAGAUUAUAAAAUAUUACAGUUAUACAGUUUGAAGAUUAUAAAAUGUUAAUGUCAUAAUAUGGGCUAUUCAAAAUGUAGUGAUAAUAGGGUAUGAACUGUAGCAACUAACCUAGCUCAUACAAAUCAGAAAGUAACUAGCUCCAUAGGAGCAUUUUCUAGAAAUCGUGGCAAGGGAGCUCGCUACACUAGACGCCAUGCUCGUAAUCGUGGACAAAAUACAUCAUGAAAUCAUCCAACAUGUCAAUUAUGUGGCAAAUAUGGACACUCAGUCACUGAUUGCUAGCAUAGGUUUGACGAAACCUUUAUGUCACACAACCCUUCAAGCUCCCAAACCAGUGUUGUGAAUGAAUCUACUACAAAACAUGAGCAAGUACAAGGUUCCAACCAAAACACUCAGGUUAUAACAAUGAUGGCAAGUGCUAAUCAAUAAUUAGCUUACACUCAAGAAUACUCACUUCCAACUAAAUUGGAAUCACAAGCCUCGAUUGCUGAUUCAUGUGCUUCUCACCAUCUCACACCUUAUGCUUCUUAUUUACAUAAUUUAAAGAGUUAUGUAGGUUCUAACAAAGUGUAUGUUGGUAAUGGUCACACCCUGACCAAUAAAUUCAUAGGUUCAGCCUAUUUUCACUCUAAGAUUGCACCUCAUAAACUAUUAUUGUUGUCUAAUGUAUUACAUGUUCCUACAAUCACAACAGACUUGUUGUCAGUCUCUAAAUUCUCUAGGGAUAACAAUGUCACCUUUGAUAUUUUGGAUGAAAAAUGUUGUGUUAAAUCCCAGGAUUCUAAGAAAACUUUAUUUGAGGGCUACCUUGAUGACAUUGGUUUAUACUACUCUCCCAAGCUACCCUUGGAGUUGCCAAAGUAAAAAUGCAUUAGCAACUUAUGUAUUCCCACUGGUAUACAAAGCUGCCCUAUUUCUAAUUCUACUAUAGUUGAACCUAAUAAUUUUCAUUCUAGUUUCUUAUGGUAUAAUGUCUUGGUCUUGCCAAUUUCAAUUCUAUUAGACAAAUACUGAAAUUGUGUAAAAUAGCUACUCAAAAUUAAGUUGAUUCUUUUGCUUGUAAGUCAUGUAAUCUUGAAAAGACUUGUAGAAUUCAUUAUCCAUUGUCUACUACUAUUUAUUCUAAUGCUUUUGAUAUCAUUUAUACUGACUUGUGGAGCCCCUCACCUCAACCCUCUAGCUCUGGGUUUAGAUAUUAUGUGACCUUUGUUGAUGGCUACACUAGGUACACGUGACUAUACUUUCUAAAGACAAAAUAUGAAUCACUUGAAGCCUUCAAAUUGUUUCACUUGUUUGUUAAGACUCAAUUCCAUACUACAAUGAAAUCAGUUCAGUCUAAAUUUGGAGGUCGGUAUAGACCAUUCACAAAUUACCUAACUGAGUUAGGCAUAAACCAUAGACUAACUUGCCCUCACACAUCUCAUCAAAAUGGGAUUGUGGAAAGAAAACAUAGAUAUAUAGUAGAAAUGGGACUUACAUUGUUAGCUCAUGUAUUUGUCCCCAUCACUUUUUGGGACCAUAGUUUUGCUACAUCGCUUUACCUAAUUAAUAGACUUUCCUCGCCUAACUCGCCAAAGUUCAACUCACCCUUUCAAGCUUUAUAUGGGAAAGAACCUAUUACAAACCUCUAAAGGUUUUUGGGUGUGCUUAUUUUGCUUUACUAAGACCAUACAACAGACAUAAACUUCAAUUAAGAAGUCAAGAAUGUGUCUACCAUGGUAUCUCUCCUCAACAUAAGGGUUUCAAGUGCUUAAGUAAAGAGGGAAAAAUAUAUAUUUCUAAGGAUGUCAAGUUUCAUGAACAAGACUUCCCAUUCUCAAAUAUGUUUCCUAGUAAGUUUAUAUCCAACUGUACCAAAAUCUCCAAGACUACACUAGGCUCAACACACAACAUACACUCCCCUAUGUUAAAUAGCUAUUUUAAUAAUGGUGUUUCCCAUUCUAACACUCAAACAAGGCCAAUACAUAUGUAUUAGUCUCCCAAAAAAAGUGUGUCUAUUCCUCCAAAUAGUAUGCCAACUCAGUCUUCCUCAAAGAGUCUUCAUAAUAGGUCUGCUACAGCUGUACUACCACAGAGUGGUCAAAUCACUACUUAUGUUGAUCCUAGCCAUGUUCCUCUGCAUAAUAUCACUGGUUUAGCAAGCUACCCUAAGGGUACUGCACAAAAUGAUAACAUUUAUACACUUGAACCUACUCCCUUACACAAUACCACUAGUUCAAGAGGGUACUGAACAAAAUGCCAAGAGUACUAUAUAACUCACACAAUUAUCCUCAUAAUAUAACUCACACAAUUAUCCCCUUUAUCCCGAGUCUAAAAUGUCAAUAUCUCCGUCCAUUGGUGCUAGCAGAUCUGAACCGAUUGUGCAUCUAUUACAUAAUGAUCAUGCCAUGUUGACUAGGGCCAAAAAAGGUAAAUCAAACCCUAAGGUGUUUGAAGCUCAUACUGAAACUGGACCAACAAGUGUUAAACAAUCUUUAUCUAAACCAUAAUGGGUCAAAGCAAUACAGGCAUAAAUUGAUGCUUUGAGAUAAAAUUGAACUUGGACAUUAACUACUUUACCUCUAUAAAUGAAAGUAUUAGGUUAUAAGUGGGUAUUCAAGAUUAAAGAAAAUCUAGAUGGAAAUGUUCAAAAGCAUAAAGUUAGGUUGGUUGCUGUAAGACCCCAAUUUUGACCCUAAGAUCCCUCAUGCUAUUCCCAUCAUAUGCAUUAACAUUGGGAUCACACCUUGACAUCCUCCUUACCUCUCAUUCAUUGGGUUUUCAUUGGGAGAUAUCACCAAGCACAUUUGAUUGUACCAUACUUCAUUUUUCUUUAUUUACUAACCAAAAUACCAAAAAUAUGUCAUUGUAUAGUUUAACUGCUUUUGUAGGUAGUAUGUAUGCUCACAUAUGCUCUAUCAAGCUCAUAUCUAGGGUUCAAGACCCUCAACGCAAGGAGCUCAAUAAAGAAAUGAUUUACUAUGUCUCUAAUUAUCAUAUAUAGAUUUCCAUGAUCUUCACAUGUUAUGUUGAUCAAGAAAUCAUCAAGAGUUGGAAGCUUCUUUUCCUUGGAAGCCCUAAUUCAUUUGGGUAUCUUGUGUGACUUCUUCAACACGUUUCUUCACCAAUUGGUCAAAUAUUUCAAGGGCUACUUCACAUUUCAUCAUCUUAUGCAUAUAUUAUCCUCCAUGAGUCCCAAAAGUCAAGAGAAUAUCAAGCUAGCAAGUUGGUUCAUGGUGGUUGACCAGAGGAAUUCAACUAGUAAAAACUGGGGUUCCCUAGACCCUAUCUCCUACAAUGUUUAUCAUAUGAAAAUUAUUCAAAGAUAAAAUUUACUCUAAAUGAUAUUCCAAACAACUUUAAUGUUGAGGUCAAGAUCAAGUUUUGCUUGGAAAGUCAUUUUUUAUGGUGAACAAUUAUAGGUCAUUUUGUAUAAACCCUAAUUUGGAGGUCAACUCCCCAAGAUCAUAACUUUCUCAUUUUGUAUGAGAUGAAAAAAGCCAUUCAAAUUUCAUGAUCAAAUUCAAGAUGUCUAAUUCAACUUUGAUGUUUGGAGGAAGUGCAAAUUCAACUUGAAAAUACAUGUGCCAAGAGGAAACAUUAUAGGCCACUUUGGACCAAUACCAUUGAACAAGUGAUUUUUCUCAACUUCUAAAAUGCAUAACUCCUUCAUUCUAAAUCAAAAUGAGGUCAAAUUUAUGACAAAUGCUAAAGGAUUUGGAAGAGAUACAACUUUUAUGAAGGAAAUUUUCUCAUUUGAAGUCCAUAAAAAAAGUUAUUCAAGGUGGAAGAAGUGAACAUAUGGCUUGCUACUUAGAAUUUUUUUUGAUAUGUUUGAUUUUUCAAACUUCCACCUCAAAAUUCAUCAUGAUCCAAGCUUCAAAUGAAAAAGUGUUCAACAUGAAAGUUGUUUCUCUUGAUCUAACCUUUCUAAAAAGUCCAAAAUCGUCUAAUUUGGACAAAGGAUGAAUGAGUAGCGCAUGGGUUAAAUUUGUAGGACCAUUUGGAAGAUUUCAAGUUCCACUUUUCAUACACGAAUGCAUGGCUUGACAACAUGAUUUCAGCAUGGCUUACACUCAAUUUUGGAACUAAGUGCAUCACUUGAUGGGCCUAUCACACGCUCAUGCAAGCAAGCAUGCAAGAGAGAUUUUCAAGUUUUGCCAAAAAUGGAAGUGUGCAAAUAUCAUUCCCAUUGGCCUAUAAAUAGAAGCUCUCUUGCUCAGAAAUAGAGACCUCAUGCGCAAGCUUUGAUUCAGCAACCCUAAACCCUCACCAUUAAAGGAUAAGCUUGAACAUUUUCUUUGAAAAUUGAGUUUUAAAUCUCCAACUGUUUUGAGAUUGAAACUCCAAGAGUCCAUCCUUUUCCUUGAUCCAUUUCUAUUUCAUCAAGCAUCUGAAGCAAGGCCGAGCAUAAUUGAGAGUAAGAUCAUGCCAAUCUGAAGCUCCAUUGAAGGUGAUUUUCAAGAUUUUUUCACUCUUCGAUUCUCUCUUAUUUCUCCACUAUUCUUGUUGAUUUUUGGUUGUCUGAGGUCCUACCAAUGUAGGCAACAAGAUUGAGUUGCUUAGAGGUCAAAUCGAAGCAAAUCAGAUCAUGAUCCUCAAAAUUCAACUCCUUGUAUCUUCCUAUAUACUUGGAGUUAGACAAAAUUGAGGCCAGAUUCGAGCUUUUGAGUAUUUUUCCUUUAAAUUCAUGUCUUACCUUUUCAUUUUGGUGAUGGUUGAAGACGGACCAGUCCGGUGAGGUCCAACCGGAGAAGAAGAUCAGAGCUCUAACUCCGGCGAUGUGUUGGCAAGUCUAUAAACCACAUGAUCCAUUCGAAAUGUUUUAAUCUUGAGUGUUGGUUGUGAUUACCACGUGUAUUGCGCAGUUGACUAAAGAUCACAUGGAACGCGCGUUUUGGACCAUUUGAUAUGUCACCUCAAUUAAUGAGGGAGAUCAGAUGGUCCGCGUAUUUUUGAUUUUCUGAAUUUUCAUUUUAAUUGCAUUAUUUUCAUUAAUUCAUAUUAUUUUUAAUAUUGAUCCAAAAAAUAUGGGACUUUCACCCAAAAAAUUCAAAUAUUUUUCUCUUUCAUUUUUUGAAUUAAAAUUAUUUUUUGGAUCAACAUUAAUAUUUUUCAUUAUUUUAUUGUUUUUGUGCAUAUUUUUAAUUGUUUAAAAAUACUUUUGACUUUCCAAAAAUAAUGAAAUUUUUUCCCCAGGGUCCUUUGACCUUGUUUGACAUAUGAUAAAUCUCUUGGCCAUUUAUUUGGUGUUUUGAAGAGGUUUUAGGUUUUUGAUCAAACAUAAUUUAAUUUAAUGCAUUUUUAAUUGAUUUUUAAUUGUUUAAUUGUGAAUAAAUUGUGUUGAGCACAUUUAUUUGGUGUUUUGAAGAGGUUUUAGGUUUUUGAUCAAACAUAAUUUAAUUUAAUGCAUUUUUAAUUGAUUUUUAAUUGUUUAAUUGUGAAUAAAUUGUGUUGAGCUAUUUUUAUUGACUUGUGGAGUUUGACUAUUGUAUUUGGGCCUUGGUCAAGGUUGAUUUGACUUUGUUGGAUUAAAAUCAUUGGAUUUAGGGGAUUGAUGAAAUGUACAUUUCAUCUUCCAAAAUGAAUGAAUGAUUUUAAUUUGAUAAAAUUCAUCCCAUGACCAAUUUGUGUUUGUCUCAUUUCCCCUCCCUCUUCUUCUUCAAUCCCAUUUUAUCUCAUGCAUUCCAUUGACCAAUGAUAUCUCUAUAUCCUAAGGCUAGUUGGUUCAUAAACCAAUACAAGUAUGGAUGAGAUUAGGUCCACCCUUUUGUCAUUUUCUUUUUAAGUGUGGUAUGUUUUAUGAGUGUGGUUCAUUAUACCAUAUCUCUAACAUGCAUUAACACUAAAAUUUCUAUUGCCCGGCCUCAUAUAGUUGUGACUUCUACAUAAGUCCAAUUACGAUUGCUUAACAUAGCGCUAAAUUUUGACCCAAAAGCAUAGCAUUCUAGUAAGUGAGAUUGUAAGUCAUCUAAUACAUGAGAGAUUAUGAAGAAGACUAUGGAGUUGCUAACUUGGAUGUGGAUAUCUUUAUUUGAUUCCUUGCUCUUCAUCUUGCUAUUUGUGUAUUGAUAUUGUUUGAUUUCAAAGUCCAAAGGAAAAGUGGGUUUCUAUAUGACAUUCUUGUCUAUUGAAUUGCAUCCCAUUGGUCAUAUCUUUUCAACUCUUAACUUUUAAAUUUUUGCUUAGGAUUAGUCUCUUCAUCUUCUCCCACUUCUUAAAUCUCAAAUCUUUCCCCUCUUUCAAAAUCUUCUUUGCUUGUGAUUUUUGAAUUUAGACUUUAUUGAAAAUUAGAAACUUUGGCCUUAGGCCAUUGCAUUUUUAAACUUCUUUUUCUUAAUCAAACUUGUAAAUGAACUUAACCAUACUUGACUGAAAAUUUCAAAAGACAAAAGGAACUAACACUCAUUCAAACUCUUUUAGGCCCUUUUGUGCCUCUUUUAAACUUAGAUUUUUGUUAGAAGCAAUUCACUCACUUUGAAAUUGAUACCACGAACUACGAGGUUUUGAUCCCUAAUUUUAUGUUGGUACAUAGGCACAAGUCCGAAGGUCUUGUCAAACAAAAAAAUAUAACUAAUGAAUUUUUUUCUCAUCCCCAAACGCUAUUUAUUGCAAACAUCUUUUAUGCCAAAACACAUAUAACAUAAAAAAAAAGGCUCCCUUGGAGUACCUAGGACACUUUGGGUGCUAACACCUUCCCUCUAUGUAACCAACCCCCUUACCUUUAAUCUUUGGCACUUUAUUAGUUUUGAUUUGAAAACUUCUUAUCUUUGGGUUUUGUUCGUACUUUUCCCUUUUCCUUUGGAAACAAUAAAAGCACGGUGGCGACUCUGGUUUUAUUGACGUUAAGUUUAUCCAUUUGGCACUUUAUUAGUUUUGAUUUGAAAACUUCUUAUCUUUGGGUUUUGUUCGUACUUUUCCCUUUUCCUUUGGAAACAAUAAAAGCACGGUGGCGACUCUGGUUUUAUUGACGUUAAGUUUAUCCAUUGCUUAAUGGUCAUGAAUUUACCGCUACAGUUGCAAAGGGAUAUCAUCAAGAACAAGGGUUUGACUUUACAUAAACACUCUCACCAGUGUUCAAGCCAACAACAAUCAAACUAAUACUUACUCUUGUCCUAACCUACAAAUGGGAAAUUCAACAGGUAGAUGUGAACAAUGCUUUUCUAAAUGGGACACUUCAUGAAGAUAUCUACAUGAUUCAACCACUUGGGUUUGUGCACUCUGACAAGACUCUUGUGUGCAAAAUUCAAAAAGCUCUAUAUGGCCUUAAAUAGGCACCACAAUCAUGGUAUGAAAAGAUAACUCAUUAUCUUAUUCAAUUUGGAUUCAAUCACUCUAUAUGUGAUCAUUCACUCUUUUUAUACUCAUGUCAAGGUGUUUAUCUGUAUGUGCUUGUCUAUAUGGACGAUACCUUGGUUACAGGUUCUAGUCCCACAGUCAUGCACAGUCUGAUUAAAAAACUGCAUACAAACUUUGCUUUGAAGAAACUUGGUAGGCCCUCCUAUUUCUUGGGUAUUCAAGUAAAAUAUCAAAUAAAUGGAUCCUUACUACUUACACAAGCCAAAUACAUAAGGGAUCAAUUGGCCGGGGUUGAGAUGGAAAAUAUGAAUGAUGUUCCUACACCCAUGCUUAGCACAUGUAAGCUAAGCAGACACGGUUCCCCAGCAUUGUCUGAUCCGCAAUUGUAUAUGUUUAUUGUUGGUGCUCUACAAUAUGUAACCUUAAUAAUAUCAUACAUUUCCCUAAGUGUUAACAAAGCGUGUCAGUUCAUGGCCUCCCCUUAGACACUCAUUGGUUUGUAGUUAGAAGAAUGCUUAGAUAUACGAGUGGUACUUCAUGUAACACCCUUCUAAACUCCACAUAUAAUCAUCAGAUAUUUUAAUUAAAAUCACAAUCAUAAGGGUGUCACACACAUCACAAACACAUCAUUCUUUGUAACACAGGUUACAACAAAACAUUUUAAUGCGUACAUUUGCACUUAGGAUGUUUACACGACAUCUAACUCAUAUGGUACUAUCGCAGUGAAAACAUAAUUAAAGCAAUUAAAAACUAUAUUUUACUCAUACCAUUUAGUUUCAACUUCAACUUUCAUAAAAAAUAAAAGAGAUUAAUAAAUAAGCUCAAUAACCACAUCAGUCGUAAUACUUCAACAUAAACAUGACAUAAGAAGCUAAACAAGCAUUCCCAAAUCGAUGUUACAUAAUCAGAGAAAGACACUUCUAAUUAAAACGAUAAACUAAGAAGCAACUCCAGGAGCUAGCUUCCACUCACUUCCACAAGAUCUACUCUUGAGUAUCUGCACGAUGCCCAUGUAAAGGCAACAUUCAAACAGAAGGAGUAAGAAUUCAUUUCAACAACAAAUCAUAUAGAAUGUAAAAUAGAGUACAACAUCUACACAAUCAUGCACAACAAAAUAUCACAUUUUCACACCCAAAUCAUCAUCUACAUCAUGCACAACAACAUCUCAAUAAUUAUCAACAUCAUACGCAAUAACAUUAUCAUCACACAUAGUCAUAGUUCACGCAUACACUUCAUUCAUGUUAUGCCACUCAUGACAACGAUAACGACUCAUAUGCAUGUCGUACCAUUCAUGAACACUCUGGUUCAUCUCACUCCCGAUCCCUACCAUAGGACCUGAUCAGUCACCAUUUGUGUUAUAAUUAUUAUCAUGUUAUCAAGUGAAAGCACGCGAGUUAGUUGUAUUUUGCAUACAAUUUAAGUCGUUUUUACACCUUCUUUUACUGUUAGCAUCAUUUAAUCUUUUCAUUGUGUUUCAUCAGUUUGUUGCCAUUUUUCGCAUUUUACACUUUGGGUGUGUACCUUUUCUGCAUUUCAGGUUCAACAGGUAGUCAAGUACGAUCAAAUGUAGAAAUCAAGAAGAAGCGUAAAGAAUCGGAAAGGUGUUUCCAUGUUCCAGUAGGCCUGCUACGGCCACCCGUAGCACCUGCUACAGCCACUCGUAGCACCUGAUACAAGAUGUAGCUGGAAGUCCUUAAGCACAAAGUAAAACCAUCCAAACAGGGACCUAGUACAGACACCCGUAGCACCGGUUACAGGCCAUAGUAGGGGGGUCUGACGCAGAAGAAGAAUCCACCUAAAAUAGUGGCCUGCUACGGCCACCCAUAGCACCUGUUACGGGCCGUAGCAAGAGACCUGGGACAAGACCACCAAAAUAGUGGCCUGCUACGGGCCGUAGCAGGCAUGCGUGAAAAAGUCCAAUUUUGUCUUUUCUUUUGUUAUUCUUAAGUUAGGGGAAUUUUGGUCAAUUGGAAAGCAGAUGUGAUGGACUUUUGUGGCUCUGUUUGAGGAGAGAGAAGACUUUUCUAUAAAAAAGGGAGUUUUCAAACAAGAAAGGAGACAUUUUUUAGAGAAGCAAGAGUUCACACGAUUUAGAAUUAGAGAAAUCAAGAUUUUGGGAGAAACGAGAUUUUUCAUGAGCGGAAGCAAUUGAAGAUCAAAGUUCAUAUGAAUACUUGUAAUGUCUCGAUUUUAUAUUUUGUUUUUCUUGAAUAUUAUGAGUAGCUAAAUCCUCCAAUGUUAAGGGGGUAUCCCUGAUUUGAAUCUGUAAUGACUUUGAGUUUAUAUUUACAAUGAAAAUAUUGCUUUUCAUAAUUACUUUAAUCUUGUGAUGUGCUUAAUGCUUUCUCUUUCAGAACAAUUGAGAUUGUUAUAUGAUUAUCAAUUAGGUUGGACAUCCGUUGAUAAGGCUUUCAUGAGAUUAUUCUACAGUAGAUAUUAUCCAGGACUAGGGAUACCAUGUAGGAACCAAAUUGUUCUCAACAUAAUAAGGCUUAAUUUCAUCGGUAGUUUUCUAUGGACAUAAAGAUUAUGGCUUAAUGAUUAAAGGUUUUCUCACCAAGACCUUAGGAGAAAACACCCUUGAGAACUGGUAGUAAUUAAUUGAUAUUUGUUGAUGCAAUAGUGACUCAGAGUUGUUACAAGGAAAAAUCACACACGUUCCUUAGCAUAUUAUUCUAUCUUGAAAACCCUUUUUCAGCACUAUUUAUUUUAUUUGCAGUUAUUUAUAUACAGUUGAAUCAAAAACCCCAACACAAGUUUUUGUUUAAUUGGAUAACAACUAGAACUCAAUAUUUACGAGCAGUCCUUGAGAUCGAAAUUCGGGGAACUUUCCUCAUUAUUACUAUAAAGGCAAAAUAGUACACUUGCCAUUUUUCCGAUCAGGACCAGAGCACACCAAAUCGUUACCACCAUCAUAGGUAACGCUUCACCGACUUCCACCUGAAACCGCCUACUCGUUCCCGAUCCCCACCAUAGGACUAGAGCACGCCAAAACUGGAUUGAAGCCCAUACAUCAUGAUACAUGACUCUUAUUAACACGCAUUAUCACAACAAGGUUCACCAAAAGGAUCCACAUACACAUCUCACCAUUCAUAUCACAUCAUUCAUCAUGUGCAACAAUCAAUUCAUGUCACAAUGUGAAUAACAUCAACAAACAACAUCAAGUCAUCAAACAUGAUUCCAUAGGCAUUCAUUCAUGUUAGUUCGCCGAAAAAAUAACACAUCAUCGUAUAAACAUAACGAUUCACUAACCAAUCAUACAAGUCAUCACAAACUUCUCUACAGUAGAUAAUUGACUACUGUGAGUGCAACUUGGCAUUAGGAAUCAUAAAAACAUUUUUGAAAUGAGUUAGAAAAGGUUCCAUGCAUGAAAAACAAGUUUUUAUGGGAAAAGCAGGCUAUGUGCCGACACAUACGUUCUAUAGGUCGACACAUAAAAGAAAAAGUUUCCUAUGUGUCGACACAUACGAGUUACAGGUCGACUCAUGUACCUCAUUUUUAAAGCCCGUAGCUUCUGUUUGAUGUGUCGAUUGUAUGUGUCAACUCAUGACCUAUACAGGUCGACACACGACUUACAUAGAUCGACACAUACUUUAAUUUUUUUGUCUAAAAUUCAGUUUUUUAAUCAUCCAAACACUAUCUUAUAUAAUAACAACUUAUUUCAAGAAAAUAUAUCAUAUUAAUCUCAAUUUCUAUUGCUAUCACACUCUAAACUCACCUAUUAUUUCAUGGGUUCAUGGAUCAAUAACACAUUGCAACAAUAUCAUCAUAUUCAUCAUCUCUAAAUCAUCAAUUUUCCAUCAAAUUCAACAUGAUUCAUUUGAUUCAAGCACAUCACAACAACAAUAUAUCAAUACACAUGGUUAUAAUUCAUAUCAUUGCAUAUAAAAACAAUAUUACCAUCCUUAAUCAAAAGAAUAACAAACCCUAUGGAAGGUUAUGAGUCCCUCCAACACUUCCAUCAUGCCCCUUAAUAUUGAAACAGUUUCCCAUCCUUACCUCAAUCCUUAGUAGAAAAUUCUUGUGUUGAUGUGUUCUUCCUUCCUAAAGCUUCAAGUCACAACCUCAUGCCCUUGCCUCUUUUCUCUCUUUUCCCAAUUUUAUAUGAUUUGACAAAAAAACACUAACCUAGAUUGUUUUUAUUUUAAAUAGUUAGGUUCCCAUCUUUCUAAAAUUAGAACUUAACCCACCAUUAAUUCCCUCUUACUCCUUACUCCCUCGUAUUCCUUUAAAAUUCCACUUUUUACCCGAAGUCCCUAUUUUUCUCAUUUAAUUAAAUAAUCUAUUAGAUCAUUAUUAUUUUAGUUAUCUAAAAUAACUCUAAAUUAUUCUAGAUUAAUCAUAUGGUCACAACCCCUUAAUUAUUCUCCCAUCUCAAGGACACAUACCAUAUAAUCUUAUUUCUAUAAUUGAACAAAAUAAUCAACAAUUGCACCAAUACACAAAGAAUUAUAAUAAUUUAAUUAAUCCAUGCAAAAACUAAAACUGGGGUGUUACAACUCUCCCCCAAUUCAAGAACUUCUGCCCUCGAAAACUACCUGAAAGAAACAAAGUCGGCUACGACUCUCUCAUCUGACUUUUCAGCUCCUAAGUUAUGCUUCCACCAGCUGGUCCUCCCCACACUACCUUCACCAAGACAAUCUCCUUACCAUACAACUACUUCACUUAUCGAUCCUCUAUCCACAUGGGUGAUGCCUCCAUAGUCAGGUUCUCUCUCACCUGCAUAUCAUCCACUUGGAUCACAUGAGAUGGAUCCAGAAUGUAUCUCCUCAAAUGAGACAUAUGAAACACAUCAUGAAGAUUAGCAAGCAGCGGUGGCAAGGCAAUCUGAUAGGCCACCUCUCAUAUCUUCUUCAGGAUCUAGUAUGGACCAACAAAACGUGGCAUUAACUUUCGAGACUUCAAGGCUCGACCAACACUGAUUACUUGGGUAACUCUCAAAAACACAUAGUCCCCCUCUUGGAACUCAAAUGCCUUUCUCCUCUUAUCAUGGUAACUCUUUUGGCGACUCUGCAAAACUUUCAUCUUCUCUUGAAUCAUCUUGAUCUUCUCAGAAGUUUGUUGCAUAAUCUCAGGUCCAAUUACUGCACUCUCACUAGAUUCCUACCAACACAUAGGUGUCCUACACCUUCUACCAUACAACGCCUCAAACGGGAUCAUCCCAAUAGUUGAAUGGAAAUUGUUAUUGUAAGUGAACUCAAUCAACGACAAGUAUAUAUCCCAAACACUUCCUCAUUCUAGCACACAAACCCUUAACAGAUCCUUCAAGGAUUGGAUAGACCUAUCUGUUUUCCCAUAAGUUCGCGGGUGAUUAGUGGAACUCAACUUCAGCUUAGUAUCUAAGGCUUCUUGUAAACUCUGUCAAAACCUUGAUGUAAACUUCAGAUCUCUAUUUGAUACAAUGCUUGAUGGAAUACCAUGCAAAUUAACGAUCUUGUCAAUAUUAAACUCAGCUAACUUCUACAAGGUAUAGUUAAUCUCAUUUAGUCAUCCUAUCAACAACCACCCAAAUAGAAUCAAUUCCCUUUGUCGUCUUCGGUAAACUUGUUAUGAAAUCUAUAGAAAUGAUAUCUCACUUCCAUUAUGGAAUACUCAAAUGUUGCAUCAGACUUGACGAUUUCUGAUGUUCAAUCUUCGACUUUUGACAAGUCAAACAAGCAUAGACAAAUUCAGCUACUUCAUUUUUUUCAUUCCUAACCACCAAAAUAAUUUCUUUAAGACAUGACCACCAAAAACUUUUUAUAAAUUCUUCAAAAUAAUUAAUAAAAAUAAUUUACAAAAUAUAAAAAAACAAUUUAAAUUUAUUUUAUUUUUUGUUAUAAAAAUAACUUAUACAAAUUUAUUUAUAAACAUUUAUUUCAAUAAGUAUUUAUGCCAUAACUGUAUAUCCAAAUAGGAUCAAUAUCUUGAACAACAUUACAUAUAGUAAAAUAAAAAACAUGCAAAUAAGAUAUCAACUUGUUUCAAUAAGUUUAGAAUUCUCAACUUGUGCAUUGUGCAUAUGAUAUACUACACUAACUAGCUUUUCCGUGGUGAGUUUGUUAUCAUGAAUAGUUAUCUAAACCUUUUGGACUAAAAUGAUUUGACUAUCAUUAUCAUGAGACAAAAACCAAGAACAGCCACCAUUCUUGCAUGGGCUCCACUUUCCCACUACUUUCCACCUAAGAAAAAAUAAAGGAAACAACCACCUUCUUCCAUUAAAUUAUUCAAAUCUGACUCAUUCUCAUCUCACCCUCCACAUACCACAUCCAUCUUCAUUCUUUUCUCUCCUAUAUAUCACCCAACUCUCUCCAAUCUUCAUAAUAAAUCUCUCAUCUCUCUCUUUCUCUCUCCAUAUCACCAAAACAACACUCAAUUUAAAACAUUUAUUAGCCAUUCCUUUAAAAAAAAUUAUUUGCCAUUAAAAAGUGCAAAAAAUAAUGGGAAAUUGUUUGAAGGGCCAAUCAUCAACCAAAUACGCGACGGACGACGAAGAUGACUGGGAUUUUCCGGCAUCCAAAGGCGACUAUGUGACCAAAAACAACGCUAUCUCCGGCGCCAAAACCACGACCGAGGUAAAGAUCAAGAUCACCAAGAAACAAUUAGAAGAGUUGCUUAGAAAAGUUGACAUAAGAGAAUUGAGGGUAGACCAAGUUUUGGUCCAAUUGAUGAACCAUAGUAAUGGCUAUAAAUCACUUGAGAGAUCUUGGAGACCUGCACUUCAGAGCAUCCCUGAAAUGGAUUGAACUUGGCUUAGUUUAGUUUAGGUUUAUGGAGUUGAUGAGGAUGAGUAUUGGCUUAUUGGGUCAAUCUUGCUUUUUUGUUUUCACGGAAAAAAUUGAUGAUUUUGGAUGAGGAAUUUGAGGGUAUAGUUUACAUUUUCUUUUUCUUUGUACAUACAAAAGGAAACAGAUUUCAUGUAAUCACACAUUUACAUAGUAUAGAUCUUCAUCCAAUUUCAUUAAAUAUAUAUAAGUAAAGUUAUAUUUGCUUUGUCACGAAUUUGGAGUCAUUUACUUUGGGUUUUGUUAAUGGUGGAAUUCCAAGGUGGACCACGGUCAUCUAUACAUGAUUUAUGAAUAUUCAUAUAUUUAUUAAAUAAAAUAAUAAAUCAGUGACAUAAUAGUUUUUUUUUAUUGUUGCUAUGUUUGGGGCUCUAACA
rnacentral:lncRNA from 1 species